rnacentral:rRNA from 1 species
UGAGAGGUUGAACGGCCACAUUGGGACUGAGAUACGGCCCAGACUCCUACGGGGGGCCGCCGUCGGGAAUUUUGGGCAAUGGAGGAAACUCUGACGCAGGGACGCCGCGUGCAGGAAAAAGGUUUUCGGAUUGUAAAAUGCUUUAGACAGGGAAGAAAAAAGACAGUACCUGUAGAAUAAGCUCCGGCUAACUACGUGCCAG